AGUCGCUGGUGGUUGCUAGGGGCGCUCGGAGCCGAAGGCGCGUGGUGGGAGUUCUUCUUUUAGCGGAGCCAUGAACCGCCCGAAGAUUGGCAAUCGGGAGACCUUGUACGGAGAUUUGGGCUGUGUAAACUCUGGUUUGGUAGGCUCCUUGCCGGCUCCAGUAAUCCGCGCCAGAUACAGGUUUUAGAUCUGUGAACGCAGAGCCUUGGAUCCGGUAUUCGUACGGCUCACUGCUUUUUCUGUUAUUGAUGAAGAGUUUAGCUGACGGUGCCGCCUUUUUGUGCUUGGUGCUCCCUGCUUCCCUUCCCUAAAGGUGACAUACUGAGAUGAGAAGGACUGUUUCUUCCCGGAGAAAUACAGAUCACUUGGACAUUAAUGAAAGUUCUGCAUUCACCCAGAGAAUGAGAGCUCUCAGCCUUCAGGCUUGGACUGAAACAUCAGCUGUUCUUGGAUCUUGAACCUGCCAACUUUCAGACUGGAACUUACAUUAUUGGCCCUCCUGGUUCUCAGGCCUUUGGAUUCCAACCUGAACUACGCAUCAGCUCUCCUGGGUCUCCAGCUUGAUUACUGCAGAUCUCGGGACCUCUCGGCCUCCAUAAUCCUGAGUCAAUUCUUUAUAAUAAAUCAAUAGCCAUAGCUACAUAA